CCUACGGGUGGCUGCAGUGAGGAAUAUUGGUCAAUGGGCGCGAGCCUGAACCAGCCAAGUAGCGUGAAGGAUGACUGCCCUACGGGUUGUAAACUUCUUUUAUAAAGGAAUAAAGUGAGGCACGUGUGCCUUUUUGUAUGUACUUUAUGAAUAAGGAUCGGCUAACUCCGUGCCAGCAGCCGCGGUAAUACGGAGGAUCCGAGCGUUAUCCGGAUUUAUUGGGUUUAAAGGGAGCGUAGAUGGGUUGUUAAGUCAGUUGUGAAAGUUUGCGGCUCAACCGUUAAAUUGCAAUUGAUACUGGGAAGUCUUGGGUAAGGUGAGGGUGGGCGAAAUCCUGGUGGAGGCGUGAAA
rnacentral:rRNA from 1 species